rnacentral:rRNA from 1 species
GUUGAACGCUGGCGGCGUGCCUUAUACAUGCAAGUCGAGCGAACAGACGAGGAUCUUGCUCCUCGGACGUUAGCGACGGAUGGGUGAGUAAUACGUGGAUAACCUACCUAUAAGACUGGGACAACGUCGGGAAACCUGAUCUAAUAUCGGAUAAUAUAUUGAACCGCAUGGUUCAAUAGUGAACGACGGUUUUGCUGUCACUUAUAGAUGGAUCCGCGCCGCAUUAGCUAGUUGGUAAGGUAACGGCUUACCAAGGCGACGAUGCGUAGCCGACCUGAGAGGGUGACCGGCCACACUGGAACUGAGACACGGUCCAGACUCCUACGGGAGGCAGCAGUAGGGAAUCUUCCGCAAUGGGCGAAAGCCUGACGGAGCCACGCCGCGUGAGUGAUGAAGGUCUUCGGGUCGUAAACCGCUGUUGUUCGGGAAGAACAAAUGUGUAAGUAACUCUGCACGUCUUGACGGUACCUGAUCAGAAAGCAACGGCUAACUACGUG